rnacentral:rRNA from 1 species
UACGUAGGGCGCAAGAGUUAUCCGGAAUUAUUGGGCGUAAAGAGCUCGUAGGCGGUUUGUCGCGUCUGCCGUGAAAGUCCGGGGCUCAACUCCGAGCCUGCGUUCGAUACUGGGUAGCUAGAGUCUGGUAGGGGGAUCUGGAAUUCCUGGUGUAGCGGUGGAAUGCGCAGAUAUCAGGAGGAACACCGGUGGCGAAGGCGGGAUCCUGGGCCAGUACUGACGCUGAGGAGCGAAAGCGUGGGGAGCAA